UAGGGAAUCUUCGGCAAUGGACGAAAGUCUGACCGAGCAACGCCGCGUGAGUGAAGAAGGUUUUCGGAUCGUAAAACUCUGUUGUUAGAGAAGAACAAGGACGUUAGUAACUGAACGUCCCCUGACGGUAUCUAACCAGAAAGCCACGGCUAACUACGUGCCAGCAGCCGCGGUAAUACGUAGGUGGCAAGCGUUGUCCGGAUUUAUUGGCGUAAAGCGAGCGCAGGCGGUUUCUUAAGUCUGAUGUGAAAGCCCCCGGCUCAACCGGGGAGGGUCAUUGGAAACUGGGAGACUUGAGUGCAGAAGAGGAGAGUGGAAUUCCAUGUGUAGCGGUGAAAUGCGUAGAUAUAUGGAGGAACACCAGUGGCGAAGGCGGCUCUCUGGUCUGUAACUGACGCUGAGGCUCGAAAGCGUGGGGAGCAAACAGG
rnacentral:rRNA from 1 species